AGCAGCCGCGGUAAUUCCAGCUCCAAUAGCGUAUAUUAAAGUUGUUGCAGUUAAAAAGCUCGUAGUUGAAUUUCGGGGUCAGUAGGUUGGUCAUGCCUCCGGUAUGUACUGGUCUCACUGAUUCCUCCUUCCUGAUGUACCGUAAUGCCAUUAAUUUGGUGUUGCGGGGAGACUGGACUGUUACUUUGAAAAAAUUGAGUGUUUAAAGCAGGCUGACGCUUGAAUACAUUAGCAUGGAAUAAUGAAAUAGGACGUUCGAUCCUAUUUUGUUGGUUUCUAGGAUUGACGUAAUGAUUAAUAGGGAUAGUUGGGGGCAUUAGUAUUCAAUUGUCAGAGGUGAAAUUCUUGGAUUUAUUGAAGACUAACUACUGCGAAAGCAUUUGCCAAGGAUAUUUUCAUUAAUCAAGAACGAAAGUUAGGGGAUCGAAGACGAUCAGAUACCGUCGUAGUCUUAACCAUAAACUAUGCCGACUAGGGAUCGGAUGAUGUUAAUUUUUANGUACUC
rnacentral:rRNA from 1 species